GUACGGAGGGUGCAAGCGUUAUCCGGAUUCAUUGGGUUUAAAGGGUACGUAGGCGGAUAGAUAAGUUAGUGGUGAAAUCCCGAAGCUCAACUUCGGAACUGCCAUUAAAACUGUCUAUCUUGAAUUUGGUUGAAGUGGGCGGAAUAUGACAUGUAGCGGUGAAAUGCUUAGAUAUGUCAUGGAACACCGAUAGUGAAGACAGCUCACUAAGCCAAUAUUGACGCUGAGGUACGAAAGCAUGGGUAGCGAACAGGAUUAGAUACCCUAGUAGUCC
rnacentral:rRNA from 1 species